AGCAGGUCGGCAUGGAGGCUGGGCCGGGAGACCAGAGCACGUGGGAGCCUGGUGGCGGUUCUCCACUGGGCCAAGACGACAUCACUUCCGCUAGGCAGAGGCUCUGCUUCCCGCAGAUCUGGUGGCUGUCCCACGGCGGGGGCCUCGCCACUCAAGCACUCCGUGAAGCUCUCUUUCUCGCCGAAGAAGCCUCCGGGCUGACCCUGGUGCUGUUGGAGCCGAGACAAGGACUGUGGCCUCCUGGUGUCCCGACUUACGUCAGGGUCCCCAACGGAAAGGCUCUCGGGACAGUCGACAGAUGCCAGCAGGUGAAGCAGCGGCAGAGACUGUAUCGGACAGGAUUUCGUUUUGGGGGAGCCGGAACACCUGUCCGCUGAUCGCCUGCCACUCCGCAUCUGGGCCCGGCUGACAGGCUUGUCUGCUUUGACUAAUGAUGUGAUUGAUGGACAAAAUAAGGAAGAACAUACAAAAAAACAUUUCUGUCUGGUCUGGUGUGUCAGCAAGCCUUCAUCAAGUGGCUGCUGAAGGUAUAUUUUGCUGCAUGCCUCAUUACACAGUAAUGGCAUUCCCAGGCAAAGCUGUUUCUUUUCAUGACACAAGACAGCAGGCAGCUUUAUGGGCGCUGGGCCCACCGAGCCCGGAGGAUGGGGAGGCACACUAAAGAGCGGUCAUUUCCAAAAGUGCCUCAAGUUGCUUUUUUGUUGUCAUGAAUUUAAUAUGAAUCAACACAAUAUGAAAUGGGCAUGAGGGAUUUUAGUGACUAGUGAUUUUUUAAGACUGCUGUCUAAACAGCCAUCAAGAAGAAAGGGGAGGGUAAAGUCACCACAUUUUCCUUCUCCAAACCUGUUGCAAAAAGGAGUCAUCUGUCAAUUUUAUUGCAUUAAAAAAGUACACAGAAGCAUAUAGUCCAAACAAAUGUCUUCUUUCAGGCUAAACAUGUGGAAAAUGCCACAGAGCUGAUGCCAGGAUCAUCUCACUCAGCAAACCGAGUAUUCAUAACCUCGCUCCGAUGGCCUGCUGUGGAUGGGGUGACAUUCAUGAGAAUUACACAUGCCACGCUGUCGCCUCUUUGUGCAUAUAAUAAUGAUCUGAAAAUCAGUUCUGGCUGGAACACGAGGGAGGCAAAGAACUGCUUCACUCGGAUAACAAGACACGUGUGAGUUAGAGAUCAUGCUUAAAAACAAGAGAGAAAGUGGGGAAGUUCUUGGCCUGAUUUUUUCCCCUUCUCUUUCUUUAUUGGGCCACAGAAUUCCUACUUUAUUUCUUGUAAAGUAUUUGAAUUCUCCUCGAUAUUUAUUUUUCUUCCUUCCUUCCUUCCUUCCUUCCUUCCUUCCUUCCUUCCUUCCAUUUCUCUCUCUCUCUUCCUUCGUUCUUUCCUUCCUUCCGUUUUUCUCCCUUCCUUCCUUCCUUCCUUCCUUCCUUCCUCCCUCCCUCCCUCCCUCCCUUUCUUCCUUUCUUCCAACAAAUUUUCUUUGCCAAGGUAUUUUAUUACACACGUUCCACUCCUUUCUUUAACACGUUGGACUGUCUCCAAAGAGAAAUGCUUCAAAUGAAGUUUCAUUUUAAAAACACUUUUUUAUUUUUUUCUUGCUACCAUGAUGAGCCUUCAGUGGUGGGUUAUUGUGAAUAAUAUGUGAUUUUAACAAGUUGAGAUUAGACAAAACUCUCUUCCUAUAAUAAAUACUAGAUAAUAAAUUAGAAAAUGUAUAUG
ensembl:lncRNA